UACAGAGGUCUCAAGCGUUGUUCGGAUUCAUUGGGCGUAAAGGGUGCGUAGGCGGCGCGGUAAGUCGGGUGGGAAAUCUCGGAGCUUAACUCCGAAACUGCAUUCGAUACUGCCGUGCUUGAGGACUGGAGAGGAAACUGGAAUUUACGGUGUAGCGGUGAAAUGCGUAGAUAUCGUAAGGAAGACCAGUGGCGAAGGCGGGUCUCUGGACCGUUCCUGACGCUGAGGCACGAAGGCCAGGGGAGCAAACGGG
rnacentral:rRNA from 1 species